AAGGAGGGCACUGUAGUGCUGCGGCGGGCCUGACCAAGGUCCCCGUUUCCCACAGGCUGCGUACGGAGUGGAGGUCUACAGGAUAGGAAAGAAAUCUUCCCUGGACAGAAAACAAAUUACAUCAGAUCAACCUCAAAUUAUCAACAGUGAUUUUGAUGGAAAAGGAAAGCAUCAGAUGGUUUACCUACCAAGAUCUAUUCAUAGAGAGUCUGGGGGAAGAAAGUACUUGAGUAAGAAGAAAGCAGCAUCAUGGAGGACAGUAAGAGCCAAUGAAAAGAAAAUGAUGCUUUAUUUGAGUGAAUGCUAAAAGGACCAAGGAGUAGAGAUAAAUUCCAAGGAGAGUCAUGACGCUGGAGAUUUGAUGUGAUGUAAUAAACCUCACCAUGCUGCCUGCUGCAAGCCAGCCUUCAGAAUAUGACACCAGAAAGAUGGCUAACAUUUCUAGGGUUCAGUUUGUUAAACAAGAAUAUGACCCCAUAUUCUAAAGAAGAGUUAAG
rnacentral:lncRNA from 1 species